UUACGGGUACUUAAGUAUAUAUUAGUAAAUGGGUACACAAAUUAGUGAAGUAAUCGCUAAGUCCACAUCCUUGUCCGGUCGUUGAUAUUUCCUUCGUUAAUUAUUAGUGUUUAACACGAUAUUUUUUAUACAUAUGAAGCUUAAAAUUAAAACUACUAUUUAUUUCACACACGGAUUUAUUUUUAAUUUAUAAAUAUGUACCUACUUUUCUAAUGUCUGUAAAUCCAAGAAAUCUAUUAUGUACAAAAAUAAUUGUUUUGUCCAAUUACUUAAAUUACAAUACAUAACCGCUUAUUGAAAAAACAUUCCGUUGCGACUUGCGAGUAUACAAACGUAUUGUGGGAAAGUUCGUUACUUCCUAUAAACGAGUACGUGCUUACUAUGAGACCUUAAAAACGAGUUCAUAUAAAUUCUAUUAUUACCAAAACGAACAAUGAAGCCCCUCAAAACUAAUUUCUCGGCAGCUGUGGAGUUAUCAAGUUAUCGACCGUCGAGACGAGGCCAGCGGUGACGUCACAAAAAUGUUUGUUUUAAGUCGCCAUCUUGCUUACAAAACACAAGCUACAAUUUACUUUAUGAACAUCUAAUAAUAGGUUUUGAAGAUAAUAAUUCCAUGCGCAUGAUGGAAAUGACUCAGGUCGCACGUAAUUAUGUGUCAUUAUUCUAAUUCUUGUUGUUACAAAUAAAAAGUUCUGAGAAAUUCUCAGUUUGAAACGUAUUUGUCUAAUGAUGAGGUACAUAAAUUCUUUGGGGAUUCUGUUUCGUCUUAACCUUCAAUUCUUCCCCUUUCCGCCUUUCAAUGCGAAAUAGAAAAUUCACGGAAUAUGGUAGGUAUGUGAUCAAUACUAGAAUUUUAGCA
rnacentral:misc_RNA from 1 species